GAAGGUGGGGCUGAUGACUGGGGUGAAGUCGUAACAAGGUAGCCGUACCGGAAGGUGCGGCUGGAUCACCUCCUAACAGGGAGACAAAACUGAUUAUGAUGUCUGAUUAAAAAAUUAGGCCUUAAUCCUGUCACCUUAGGUCGAUCGGUACCUCAGAUUGAUAUCUCUAAUUAUGAGAAGCAAUUCUUAGAUUUUGGUUUCAAUUUCAGUUCCUAAACUUGUCUAGGUCACACCCAACAAACUUUCUCCUGGGCUAUUAGCUCAGGCGGUUAGAGCGCACCCCUGAUAAGGGUGAGGUCCCUGGUUCAAGUCCAGGAUGGCCCAUUCGUUGUUGGGGGUAUAGCUCAGUUGGUAGAGCGCCUGCUUUGCAAGCAGGAUGUCAGCGGUUCGAGUCCGCUUACCUCCACUGAUCAACUACCUGAUAACUCACUAUGGAGAUUGUUAUUUGGUUAAUGUGAUUUAGAUGUUGUUCAUCUGAAUGAACCUAGCUUCCUAUCAAUCGUUAAUAAUUUGGCUGAUAAGACGCUGGGCUCACUGAUAUUCAAUUGAUUAUCAGUUUAAUUCAGCAGAACCUUGACAACUGCAUAGGAAAAUCUAGAAAAAUAAAGCAUCUCAUAGAUGCACAGAAGAUGUAUUCAGAAAAUUUGAAUAUCAUUUCCUGUGUUCAAUUCUUGAGUUAGAGCAUAAAUUUUAGUUCUUGAUUAAUCAAGAACUAAUUAUUUGGUCAAGCUACAAAGGGCUCACGGUGGAUACCUUGGCAC
rnacentral:misc_RNA from 1 species